GUGCACAGCCAUACCACCCUGAAUGCCCCUGAUCUCAUCUGGUCUCAUGAACCUAAGCAAGGUCAGGCCUGGUCAGUACUUAAAUGGGAAAAAGAUCUUCAGGGAAGACUGCUCA
rnacentral:rRNA from 1 species